GUGAUUUUAAAGUCUAGAUGAUUCGGAUUAACCCUUUAACUGCCAUAUCAAGUUCAAGUUCAAGUUCAAGUUCAAUUUAUUUGUAUAGCGCAUUUACAACAGCCUCCUGGCUGACCAAAGUGCUUUAACAUAAGAGCAAGAAUAUUACACAUACAUAAAAAUAGACCAGACAAAAAAUUUAAAACCACCCAUUUCAAAAUGUAGCAUAACACAGUAGUCAGUACACUAAGGAAAAUAAAAAAGUUUUAGCAAAGAUUUAAAAAUAGACAAGGAAGGGGCCAGUCUGAUCUCUAAAGGCAGGGUAUUCCAGAGUCGUGGCCCAGCCACUGCAAAUGCACGCUCCCCUCUACGCUCCCCUCUAUCCUUUAAAACCUCACUGCCAGAGGGAUAUUGUGAAUGCAUGUGCCCGCUGGGCACAGUUUACCUGAUGCCACCGGGGUGGUGAUGGCAUUGGUGGCUUGAGCCCGCCAUCGCUGCUUGCAGCUAUAUUUAUUAUUAGGGCUCAAGCCUGGAGGGCGAGAGCCCUAUUGUUUUCCUUAGGAUUAUUUGUUAUUAUUAUUAUUAUUAUUAUUAGGGCUCAAGCCCAAAGGGCGAGAGGCCUAUUGUUUUCCUUAGGAUUAUUUUUUAUUAUUAUUAUUAUUAUUAUUAGGGCUCAAGCCCAAAGGGCGAGAGGCCUAUUGUUUUCCUUAGGAUUAUUUUUUAUUAUUAUUAUUAUUAUUAUUAUUAUUUUUUUUUUCCAACGUCUCGGGGGCUUUUGGGGCCCUUAACAUGCUUAAAAAGUCUUGAAAAUUGGCACACACAUUGGAACCUGCGGCCAUUAGGGCCGGGCAGAGACUGAUACACGGGCGUGGCACAGGGGCUCUACAGCGCCCCCUGGAAUAUGGAGGGCCAUAUAUCAUACAUUCUUGCUCGUAGACGUAUGAAACUCGGUACACAUAUAAAUCUCAUCAAUCCAAACAACUUUUGUAUUGCAUAUCAUAGGCUCCGCCCAACAGGAAGUUGGCUAUUUAGGGUUUAGUAUUCAAAUUUUUCGUCAAAGUUGUGGGGGCUUUGGGGGUCCUUAACAUACUCAAAAACUCUUGAAAGUUUGCGCACACUUUGGAAUCUGUGGCCUUUAGGAGCCUGCAGAGGCUGGGACCCGGGCGUGGCACAGGGGCUCUAUGGCGCCCCCUGGAACACAGUCAUAAAUGUUGAUGUAUAGCUCACACAUACUUGCACAUAUUCAUAUGAAACUCAGUACACAUAUAGAUCUCAUCGUGCUGAACAACUUUCGUAUUGCAUGUCAUAGGCUCCACCCAACAGGAAGUCAGCUAUUUAGAGUUAUGUAAAAAGCGCAUGCUCUGGAAUUUGAAAUACUUGUCAUAGGUUUUUUUCUCGAUUGCCGCCAAACUCGGUCAACAUGAUCUCAAGACACUGGGGAUGAAAAAUUGCCAGGGGAUUUUUGAUAUCUCGAACGGUUUGCUCGUGGCGAGGUGUUGAAAUUAUGGCGAGAAAUUAGAAACAGGAAGUGUCUAAUACCAUCCACAUACAUUUCCUGAUUUUAAUCAAACUUCAUCAGAUUAUUCGUUGUAUGAUGUCGAUCGCAUAUAUGUGACUAUUAGGAGUCAAAGUUAUAGCGCCACCAACUGGCAGAAGGAAGUGUGUCAUUUUCAAAAUGAUUUGAAUUCAGCAUCUUAUUAUUACUCGAUUUGCUUCAAACUUCAUCAGAAUAAUGUUAAAACACAGCUGAUAUAAAUCUGCAAGGGGGAUAUUGAUAUCUAAAAAAUUGUUGCCGUGGCAACAUGUCAAACUGGAAUACUUCUCAGGUGAUUUUGAGGCAAAUAACAUACUUAGAAUUUCAUCAAACUCAGAACACAUAUCAGUAUUUCUGAUAGGAACUUAAAUUGUGAAUGGAUUUUGGAUAGCUUGAAUGGUUUUGCCGUGGUGAUUUUUUUAAAUGACCUUACAAAGGGAAUCAUUAUUGUAUUUUUAAAUUGCAGCUUCCAAACACGUCAAAGAAUUUUUUCAUACAGAUGAAAAAGUCAUUCUGAGGAAAUAUGCAUAGUUUCACGACUUUACAACACUGUAUGGAUAACAGAAAAUUAAAAAAAACUGUCAGACAUCUCAUCUCACUCUGUCCCUCAGUUUGAGUAUAUGUGCUUCAGACUUCC